rnacentral:rRNA from 1 species
CCUACGGGUGGCAGCAGUGAGGAAUAUUGGUCAAUGGACGAGAGUCUGAACCAGCCAAGUAGCGUGAAGGAUGACUGCCCUAUGGGUUGUAAACUUCUUUUAUAAAGGAAUAAAACGAGGCACGUGUGCCUUUUUGCAUGUACUUUAUGAAUAAGGAUCGGCUAAAUCCGUGCCAGCAGCCGCGGUAAUACGGAGGAUCCGAGCGUUAUCCGGAUUUAUUGGGGUUAAAGGGAGCGUAGAUGGGUUGUUAAGUCAGUUGUGAAAGUUUGCGGCUCAACCGUAAAAUUGCAAUUGAUACUGGCAGUCGUGAGUACAGUUGAGGUAGGCGGAAUUCGUGGUGUAGCGGUGAAAUGCUUAGAUAUCACGAAGAACCCCGAUUGCGAAGGCAGCUUACUAAACUGUGACUGACAUUGAUGCUCGAAAGUGUGGGUAUCAAACAGGAUUAGAUACCCUAGUAGUC